rnacentral:lncRNA from 1 species
GGAAGUCAUGGUCACUGAAUGCUUUUCUCCAGCGCCACACUGCGGCGUAGCCAGAGUGGACCUCCACAGGACCAUUCCUGUCUGUGGUACCAUGCCCCCUUUAUGAGUUUGAGUUACCAGGGAUUGAACUUGGGACCUUGCCCUUGUGAGAUUUAAGAGGGGCUGUCUUCAUCUGUUUUCAGAAGAUGAGAAAACUACUCCUUAGAAAAGUCAGCACCCUGCUCAGAGUCAGACAGCUGGCGAGGGGCAGCUGGCCCACUUCACACUUUGCUUGUCUCCCAAGCCAUGUAAGGAAUUCGGCUGUUCUCUCUCCAACCCCUGCAGAAACCGUUCUGGACAAAGAGGGAACCUUAAAUUCACUAACUGAGAUAACCUGCACUCGUUAAGUAUUAAAUUACUGACAUUAUUUUAUUUUUUUAAAUCUAAGCGAUGGAUAUUUCCCAUUUAUGAGCUGGAAUUGAAGGAA